rnacentral:rRNA from 1 species
UACGAAGGGUGCAAGCGUUACUCGGAAUUACUGGGCGUAAAGCGUGCGUAGGUGGUGAGUUAAGUCUGUCGUGAAAGCCCGGGGCUCAACCUGGGAAUGGCGAUGGAUACUGGCUCGCUAGAGUGCGGUAGAGGAGAGUGGAAUUCCCGGUGUAGCAGUGAAAUGCGUAGAGAUCGGGAGGAACAUCAGUUGCGAAGGCGGCUCUCUGGACCAGCACUGACACUGAGGCACGAAAGCGUGGGGAGCAAACAGG